CAGAGAAAACACUGGGCAUGCGAUGGCCCCCUCCCUCUCGUCUUUGGGACUUGCACCACAGGCUGGAGGCGCUUCCGGCAGAAUUGAGUGCUGGGGAGAGCCUGCGAUAAAUCAGCUCUGUCUUCACUAGCCCCAGGGUUGCUAUGGCAAUAGGAAUACACUGUAGGUUUUAAGAGAUGUAAUUUUCUGUGAUUCACUGUAUAUUUUUAGCCAUUUUUCUUCCCGUAUUGUCUCCCUGUGGCAAUUGCCUAUUAAUGCUGGUCUGCACCAAGAUUGGACUAAAUGGUGCCUUCUCAGGAGUGAUGAAAACCCCGGAGAUCAAGUGUCAGAGAAGCGUGACUCGAGACACAUCAUUAGUCCUGCAGCGCCCCCUGCUGAUAAGAAUCAUGAAAGUGAUGCAAUUCUUAUAGCAGCCUCAGUCCCUCAUCCCAAGAACCUCAUAUCCUACCUACCACAUGAGGCAACUGAAGGGAAAAGACCAGCUCCCACUCUGGCUCGGCGGCUUGUCCUUGAGAAAGUUCCUCAACCUCCUGAGGCUUGUGUUCUGAAGCUUAAAUGGAAAUUGUCAUCAGCGCUGUUGAGAGAAUGAAAUCGGAAUGUGUCUGAAAAAGACUUUAUAAAUCAGAACGUUACAUAAAUGGUUAUUUUUCUGCCUGAGAGAGGUAUUUACAAUGUGUUUUUUCUCUUAUAAAAGGAAUGUGAAUUCUUUGUGGACAUUUUGAAAAAUACAUUUGAAUAAAAAAUAAAUAAGAAUCACUCGGAGUUAACUGUUAUGCACAUUUGGUAUUUUCCCCAGGUCUUUUUUUCCCAUCUGUAUGGAAAUAUGCCUUUGUUAAAAGGGAUGAUGAAGAUCUUUAUGGCCCAAGGGUGUUGCCCUUGCCCCUCC
rnacentral:lncRNA from 1 species